AUUAACUCUGGCGGCGUGCCUAAUACAUGCAAGUCGAGCGCACAGAUGAGGAGCUUGCUCCUCUGACGUUAGCGGCGGACGGGUGAGUAACACGUGGAUAACCUACCUAUAAGACUGGGAUAACUUCGGGAAACCGGAGCUAAUACCGGAUAAUAUAUUGAACCGCAUGGUUCAAUAGUGAAAGACGGUUUUGCUGUCACUUAUAGAUGGAUCCGCGCCGCAUUAGCUAGUUGGUAAGGUAACGGCUUACCAAGGCAACGAUGCGUAGCCGACCUGAGAGGGUGAUCGGCCACACUGGAACUGAGACACGGUCCAGACUCCUACGGGAGGCAGCAGUAGGGAAUCUUCCGCAAUGGGCGAAAGCCUGACGGAGCAACGCCGCGUGAGUGAUGAAGGUCUUCGGAUCGUAAAACUCUGUUAUUAGGGAAGAACAAAUGCGUAAGUAACUAUGCACGUCUUGACGGUACCUAAUCAGAAAGCCACGGCUAACUACGUG
rnacentral:rRNA from 1 species